UACGUAGGGUGCGAGCGUUAAUCGGAAUUACUGGGCGUAAAGUGUGCGCAGGCGCAAAGCAAGUCGAGUGUGAAAGCCCCCGGGCUUAACUUGGGAAUUGCGCUCGAAACUACUUUGCUGGAGUGUGGCAGAGGAAGGUGGAAUUCCACGUGUAGCGGUGAAAUGACGUAGAGAUGUGGAGGAACACCGAAUGGCGAAAG
rnacentral:rRNA from 1 species